ACUCGAGUGGCGAACGGGUGAGUAACACGUGGGUGAUCUGCCCUGCACUUCGGGAUAAGCCUGGGAAACUGGGUCUAAUACCGGAUAGGACGAUGGUUUGGAUGCCAUUGUGGAAAGUUUUCGGUGUGGGAUGAGCUCGCGGCCUAUCAGCUUGUUGGUGGGGUAAUGGCCUACCAAGGCGUUGACGGGUAGCCGGCCUGAGAGGGUGUACGGCCACAUUGGGACUGAGAUACGGCCCAG
rnacentral:rRNA from 1 species